GUCAUGUUCCAAUGCAUUAUGUGAGUAUUCAAUCAAAGAAGUAAGGCUGUUCUCCAGAAUUGGUUCUUCGCUACAGGUCAAAAC
rfam:Nomascus leucogenys chromosome 5, whole genome shotgun sequence.